rnacentral:rRNA from 1 species
CGACUUGGAGGUUGUUCCCUUGAGGAGUGGCUUCCGGAGCUAACGCGUUAAGUCGACCGCCUGGGGAGUACGGCCGCAAGGUUAAAACUCAAAUGAAUUGACGGGGGCCCGCACAAGCGGUGGAGCAUGUGGUUUAAUUCGAUGCAAUGCGAAGAACCUUACCUACUCUUGACAUCCAGAGAACUUAGCAGAGAUGCUUUGGUGCCUUCGGGAACUCUGAGACAGGUGCUGCAUGGCUGUCGUCAGCUCGUGUUGUGAAAUGUUGGGUUAAGUCCCGCAACGAGCGCAACCCUUAUCCUUUGUUGCCAGCGAUUCGGUCGGGAACUCAAAGGAGACUGCCGGUGAUAAACCGGGGGAAGGUGGGGAUGACGUCAAGUCAUCAUGGCCCUUACGAGUAGGGCUACACACGUGCUACAAUGGCGCAUACAAAGAGAAGCGGCCUCGCGAGAGUAAGCGGACCUCACAAAGUGCGUCGUAGUCCGGAUCGGAGUCUGCAACUCGACUCCGUGAAGUCGGAAUCGCUAGUAAUCGUGGAUCAGAAUGCCACGGUGAAUACGUUCCCGGGCCUUGUACACACCGCCCGUCACACCAUGGGAGUGGGUUGCAAAAGAAGUAGGUAGCUUAACCUUCGGGAGGGCGCUUACCACUUUGUGAUUCAUGACUGGGGUGAAGUCGUA